rnacentral:rRNA from 1 species
CAGUAGCCGCGGGAAUACGUAGGUCCCGAGCGUUGUCCGGAUUUAUUGGGCGUAAAGCGAGCGUAGGCGGUUUGAUAAGUCUGAAGUUAAAGGCUGUGGCUCAACCAUAGUUCGCUUUGGAAACUGUCAAACUUGAGUGCAGAAGGGGAGAGUGGAAUUCCAUGUGUAGCGGUGAAAUGCGUAGAUAUAUGGAGGAACACCGGUGGCGAAAGCGGCUCUCUGGUCUGUAACUGACGCUGAGGCUCGAAAGCGUGGGGAGCGAACAGGAUUAGAUACCCCAGUAGUCCCUGUCUCUUAUACC